rnacentral:rRNA from 1 species
GUGGGGAAUCUUCCGCAAUGGACGAAAGUCUGACGGAGCAACGCCGCGUGAGUGAAGAAGGUUUUCGGAUCGUAAAGCUCUUUCGUUAGGGACGAACGUGCUCUUUGUGAAUAAUGAGGAGUAAUGACGGUACCUAAAUAAGAAGCCACGGCUAACUACGUGCCAGCAGCCGCGGUAAUACGUAGGUGGCAAGCGUUGUCCGGAAUUAUUGGGCGUAAAGCGCGCGCAGGCGGGAUAUCAAGUCUGUCUUAAAAGUGCGAGGCUCAACCUCGUGAGGGGACAGAAACUGGUAUUCUUGAGUGUCGGAGAGGAAAGUGGAAUUCCAAGUGUAGCGGUGAAAUGCGUAGAGAUUUGGAAGAACACCAGUGGCGAAGGCGAUUUUCUGGACGAUGUCUGACGCUGAGGCGCGAAAGCUAGGGGAGCGAACGGGAUUAGAUACCCGUGUAGUCC